rnacentral:lncRNA from 1 species
CCAGAACACAGCAUGAAAGGGUGGGAGUGGAGCACAAUGGCUGAGAAUGUGAACACCACCAAUUCCUGGGCCAGACUCUGCAGCCAGACUUUCAUCUGCCAAUCCAGCUUCCAAAUUACCACGAGAGCAAUCUUUCUAAAAUUCAUAUGGAAGUGAGACCAGCAAGGUCAGCUUGCUCACUUGCUUGCCUGAAGACACAGUGAUUAAAGGAAGAAGUGAGAUUCAAAGCAUGCCUUUCGAUUCUAGAUUCUGUGAUCUCUGCUCCUCCCUGCCCCCUCCUUGGCAGGUCAGCGAGCUGCAGGCCGAGGGUUGACCCUGGAGUAGUCUCCGUAGGGGACAGGAGGUCGGGAGAAACAGCUCACUCCGCUUGUCCCUUGCAGACACACCAACAUGAGCUCUCCACCAACAAGCCUCAUCGUUUCCAUUACUGGAAGGAUUCUUUUGCUCUUGGAAAAAUCCAGGAGGGCAGAGAUGAUUUAAUCUCAGGUCAGAUGAGGAAAGACACAGUAAUUCUGGCUUUAGCUUUGGGCGCUCUCUGACAUGUGGUUUGCGAUGGAACCCUGCUGCGACCAGCACAGACAUCGCUGUCCUUGCUGCGCAGCAGGAGAAGCCCCGGUGAGUGCAGGAGGGAGUCCUAGAUCCCUGGCAUGGAGCAGAGAGCCCGCACAGCUGCAGUCUGUGACCCUGCUGGCUUCCAGGGAGGAAUGGACUCUGGCCGUGCGACAUCAAAUGUGAGCGCCACUGCGGAUUAGCACCUGAGGAAAGUUUUUUUUUUAAACAAAAUUUUAUGGAAAAAAAUGGAGUAGAUGUAAAAGGCAACACAUAAAACUAGGGUACAAAGUUUUCUUUCUAGGAAUAAAAAUGGUACCAGAUGGAAGCAGAGAGAGAGAAAAUAAAAAUGAAAGUAGUGGGUAGGGGAAAGGGAGGAUGGAGAAGGGAGAGCAGUAAACGGGAGUUGAGAGGGAGAAUGUGGGCGAAGAAAGACGACUUGGAAAAGAUGGAACUGCAAGAAAAAAAAGAACAGAGCAGAUCGGGGAAGAGGCGCCUGGGCAGGAACUGAGAGGCGCCAGUACGAGUGGUCCACGCGGCUCCACACCGGCCUGCGUGCAGUCUGCUCAAGGCUCUGUGGCAAUCUGGCUCUGGAGACUGCUUAAAACAUCACCGCAUCUGAGCUCAAGAUUCCCUGUAAAAUACGCCGUUCGACAGAGAGAAGCCCAGCGGUGGGCUUAAACAUUCUUUCUUGGGAGCAGGGCGGUGAGAAGCCACCUAGUGAGCAGGGAAGUGAUGCAGAUGUCUUCAGAUGGAAAAUUCAUAACUCCUCUGGCAGAAGUUGCCCACAGCAACCGUCAGCUGUUGGGGGAAGUUGAUCUUCCCAUGGGCACUGCCCAGAAUUUACAGGAAGAUGAAGAAGAUGCCGAUUGUCCUCAUUAUGCACUGUGAGUGCUCGGGCCUGCUGCCUCCUUCCUGUGGCCUCCCCUACAACGUGGCCUUCAUCUGGACUCUGAGCUCUCUCUAUCUUCCUCCACAUGCACAGAUGGUAAUGUUGGCCAGGGCGAUGGCCUGUGGGCAUUGCCAGGGGCCACCUGGAGUCAGAGUGCUCAGAGCUGGGGCUUUGGAGAAAUAGCUGCCAACACAUGUUUGUCUUCCCCUGGAUUAGGCGCCAUGCCGAGUUCUCCACCUGUGUGACCUCACUGAGUCCUCA